rfam:Oryza sativa (indica cultivar-group) chromosome 3, whole genome shotgun sequence.
AAAAAGACAAACCCUAGGUUUCAGUGUCCAACGUUUGACUGUCCGUCUUAUGAGAAAUUUUUUAUAAUUAGUAUUUUCAUUGUUGUUAGAUGAUAAAACAUGAUUAAUACUUUAUACGUGACUUGUCUUUUUAAUUUUUUCAUAUUUUUUUAAAUAAGACGGACGAUCAAAUGUUGGAUAUGUAAACCCAGGGUUUAUCUUUUU